UGCGGCUAUUAAGAUUUACAUCAUGUACAUAAUAAAGUGCAAAUAUGGUCAGUUUUGGUUGAUGUGGACAAAUAAUUUUGUUAUACCAGUCAGUCUGAGGUAUGAAAACUACUGAUAUUUGUUUAUGAUGCAAUAUUUUGAAUAAAAAGAGGACAUCCUGGCACUCUAAAUUGAUGCAAACGAAAUUAGGUAGCAUUGUGUUCCAAU
rnacentral:lncRNA from 1 species